rnacentral:rRNA from 1 species
UACGAAGGGGGCUAGCGUUGCUCGGAAUCACUGGGCGUAAAGGGUGCGUAGGCGGGUCUUUAAGUCAGGGGUGAAAUCCUGGAGCUCAACUCCAGAACUGCCUUUGAUACUGAGGAUCUUGAGUUCGGGAGAGGUGAGUGGAACUGCGAGUGUAGUGGUGAAAUUCGUAGAUAUUCGCAAGAACACCAGUGGCGAAGGCGGCUCACUGGCCCGGUACUGACGCUGAGGUGCGAAAGCGUGGGGAGCAAACAGG